GGCAAUAUUUGCUGUCUUACACACACAGUAAUUACUAUAAAUAUUUUUUUACUUCAAGUAUUUUUCUAGUGUUUUUAUAAAUUACUACAAUUAAACAAUGAUUUCGAGUUAGAUUUUUUUUUUCUCCUGUUGGUAGCUUUUCUUUUUUUUUUUUUUUUUAAUUUUUUUUUUCAACGUUUAUUUAUUUUUGGGACAGAGAGAGACAGAGCAUGAACGGGGGAGGGGCAGAGAGAGAGGGAGACACAGAAUCGGAAACAGGCUCCAGGCUCGGAGCCAUCAGCCCAGAGCCCGACGCGGGGCUGGAACUCACGGACCGCGAGAUCGUGACCUGGCUGAAGGCGGACGCUUAACCGACUGCGCCACCCAGGCGCCCCUCCUAUUGGUAGCUUUUCAUUGUCAUUUCCUGCCAACCUGGCUUGCACAGGACCAUCCCAUCUAUCAGCUAUGCUGCUAUAUGUCGGAAACUGCUGCAUGUUUGAACUUCUCGGUUGAGAACACAGAAUGAAUUAUUCCUCAAAGCGUUCCUGGAUCCUGAUUCCAUGGAGAUAGGGAACUUUGCUCCAAGAGCAAGUGAUCAACUCUGAUCAAGUGGAAAUCCUUGCUUAGGUCAUAAUGCAAAAUUUAAAAAGCAGGAAAAUAUUAUAAAUAAAAGAUGACCUAAUUCUGUUAAAACCA
rnacentral:lncRNA from 1 species